rnacentral:rRNA from 1 species
UACGUAGGGGGCAAGCGUUGUCCGGAUUAUUGGGCGUAAAGAGCGUGUAGGCGGCCAGACAGGUCCGUUGUGAAAACUCGAGGCUCAACCUCGAGACGCCGAUGGAUACUGUCGGGCUAGAGUACGGAAGAGGCGAGUGGAAUUCCUGGUGUAGCGGUGAAAUGCGCAGAUAUCAGGAGGAACACCAAUUGCGAAGGCAGCUCGCUGGGACGUUACUGACGCUGAGACGCGAAAGCGUGGGGAGCAAACAGG